AGGACGAACGCUGGCGGCGUGCCUAACACAUGCAAGUCGAACGGGGGUAGCAAUACCCCAGUGGCGAACGGGUGCGUAACACGUGAAGAACUUGUCCAUCGGCGGGGGAUAGCCGGCCCAACGGCCGGGUAAUACCGCGUACGCCGUCUGAAGCGCAUGCUUCGGCCGGGAAAGCAGCAAUGCACCGAUGGAGAGCUUCGCGGCCUAUCAGCUAGUUGGCGGGGUAAUGGCCCACCAAGGCGACGACGGGUAGCUGGUCUGAGAGGAUGACCAGCCACAUUGGGACUGAGACACGGCCCAGACUCCUACGGGAGGCAGCAGUGGGGAAUAUUGCGCAAUGGGGGAAACCCUGACGCAGCGACGCCGCGUGUGGGAUGACGGCCUUCGGGUUGUAAACCACUGUCGCGAGGGACGAAAAAAUAGACGGUACCUCGAAGGAAGCACCGGCUAACUCUGUGCCAGCAGCCGC
rnacentral:rRNA from 1 species